rnacentral:rRNA from 1 species
GACGAACGCUGGCGGCGUGCUUAACACAUGCAAGUCGAACGGAAAGGCCCUGCUUUUGUGGGGCGCUCGAGUGGCGAACGGGGGAGUAACACGUGAGUAACCCGCCCUUGUAUUUGGGAUAACUUUAGGAAACUGGGGCUAAUACCGGAUAGGAGCUCUUGAUGCAUGGUGGGGGUUGGAAAGUUUCGGCGGUUGGGGAUGGACUCGCGGGUUAUCAGCUUGUUGGUGGGGUAGUGGUUUACCAAGGCGUUGACGGGUAGCCGGCCUGAGCGGGUGACCGGCCACAUGAGGACUGAGAUACGGAGCAGACUCCUACGGGAGGCAGCGGUGGGGAAUAUUGCACAAUGGGCGGAAGCCUGAUGCAGCGACGCCGCGUGCGUGAUGACGGCCUUCGGGUUAUAAACCGCUUUCGCCGGUGACGAAGCGUGAGUGACGGUAAUGGGUAAAGAAGCACCGGCUAACUACGUG